rnacentral:rRNA from 1 species
UACGUAGGGUGCGAGCGUUAAUCGGAAUUACUGGGCGUAAAGCGUGCGCAGGCGGCUUUGUAAGACAGAUGUGAAAUCCCCGGGCUUAACCUGGGAACUGCGUUUGUGACUGCAAGGCUCGAGUGUGGCAGAGGGGGGUGGAAUUCCACGUGUAGCAGUGAAAUGCGUAGAGAUGUGGAGGAACACCGAUGGCGAAGGCAGCCCCCUGGGUUAACACUGACGCUCAUGCACGAAAGCGUGGGGAGCAAACAGG